rnacentral:tRNA from 1 species
UCCUGGGUAGCUCAGUUGGUAGAGCGCUUCACUGGGAAUGGAGCGGUUUCUGGUUCGACAACAGGAUCAGGCG